UCACCAUUAUCUCUUAGCAGAAUAUAGAUUUUAUUUUUUCUCCUCCUCAAGAUAGUAGAUCUAUGAAAAAAAGUAGUAUUGGCAUCCCCCUCUUUCAACCAAAUUGCUCUAGAUUUUUGCCUCCAAAAGGCUUCUUGCAUAUGUAGGUUUUUAUUAUAUUCACUAAAAGAGUAGAAAAGUUGGAAAUGUUGUUGAUCAGUGAGGCCAUUUUGUUGAG
rnacentral:lncRNA from 1 species